GUCUUGUUUCCCAACAAUUAAAUUUUAACAAGACUUAUACCUAGAGAUGGUGUGUAUAGCGUUGAAGUGUGACAGUUUGAACUGAACACAGUUUUCUUGACAUACUCUUCCCCGCUUUUUUUCCCUGUGGUUUGUGCAGAAGUGCUUCCUUGCAGACUGAGCUCCUUUUUCCACCUCAGGCAUCAAAGGCUCUUGGGACUGGCCUGACACACAUACAGAACCCAGCUAUAAAGAAGAGCAGUUGUGAGAAUAUGAAGAGCUGGUGGAAUCCAGCUGUCCUCCAUUUGCUUAGCUUGCCUUACCUUUGAGCCUCCAGUUCUGUCCCACUGCUCGGUCUUGGUGGUCGCCUGGGGCGAGACUGAAAAGAAGAGAGAACCUGAGUCACUGUGGGACGCUGGACUUGUAAGGGAUCAGCUACCUUUCUCUGUUCUUUGAUGGGACAGGCAGUUCUGUGGAACCUUUCCUUUGGGAUCUAGAGCUAUAUAUUCCUCACUUGAGUCAUCACAGCAGGCUGCCCUAUACUGAUUGCCCUGCAGAUAUGGUCUGGGACUUCAGGUCUCAAAAGUCUCUGCAAUGGUCCUGCCAUCUGGGGAUUCCUGGGGACUGGAAUCAGAACAUCUGGCAGAUAUCCAGUUAGGAGAAGACUAGUUGGUCUAGUAAGAGGCAAGCAGAGUCUAGUUAUACUUCUGGGAAGGGGUGGGGGGCAAGGAUUUCCAAUAUAUCAAAAAUGCGGUUGCAUGAGCCACCAUCCUUUGAUAUUCCUUCAACACUCUUAAUUGCCAAGAAGAGCAGUGGCAUAUAAUUCCCUUUCUCCAGGGUUAGAAAAUGAAUGUCUGUGAAGAAAGUUGCAACAGAAAGAAGGCUCCAACUCUGCUUCUGUAGAUUCUCCCACUUCUGUCCAAAGAGAGCCUUUGUGCAUGAUUUCUGAACCAA